AGUUUUUCAUAGCACAUUUUUUAUUUUAUUAAAUUAGUGUGGCAGUAAGUACAUUUUCUUUGAGCCUUUGACUUUUUGAUCUCUGUCUAUCAAUGACCUAAUUCCUUAAUUCCCCUCGCCAUUACAGUUUUAAAGCCAACCUGGUGUUAUAGUGUGCAGGCAAUGAUGGUACCGCUGCCUUUUCCGUCUAACAAAGACCACUUUGUUCAUGUUUGCGGAGAAGCCAGCUGUGUCCAGGGCUGAGGUUAGUGCAGGGUGCUCUCUCACUUUUAUGUCCUCCUACACAGGUCGGCCGUCGCUCCCAUGAGAAGGGCACGUUGCUGUCGUUGGCAGGCAACCUCUCAAUGAUCUGCAGAGGAGAUUGCCUCUGUGUGGGCAGGUCAGGGCGUUCCGCAUCAGCACACACAGCUGCCGUCUCUGCAGAGGAAACGCAUCCCCACACCAUGAUGCUGCCAACACCUUGUUUCUGCUUGGGAAUGGGGCAGAUUUGUCGACUGAUCACUUUACAGUUGUCCUGUAAACAGAUUCGUCCCCUUCAACAGUGUGUCUGCAGCUCCUCCAGAGCUACAGCGAUCAUCUUGAUUGCUGUUGCCAUUCAUUUUAUGCUUGCCCAGAUGUCAACUUUGGUUGAUAUCCAUGUCUUUGUAGGUUUGUAGUUGUGUGUGAGGUGUUCAAAGUUUGGAUAUUGUUUUACAACAUGCUUUAAACUUUUCUACAAGUUCACCCUGACUUAUCUGCUGUUUUCCUUGGUCUUCAUGAUGCUUUGUUCACUAUCAUUCUCUAAGAAACCACAGACGCCUUCACCGAACAGAUGGACUCAUAUCAAGAUUAAAUUAAAAUAAUUAAGUGACUUUUUUAUAUAGAAAUUCUAACCAAUGAAUUUUUUUCAGGAUGUCAGAUGAAAUGAAGUUGAAUGUACUUUAAUACAAAACUGUUUUUAAGUGAAACAUUUGGAAAACUAUGCAUUUUCCUUCCACUGUACAGCUAUGUGGUAAAAUUUCUUCAAAAUUCACCUACUUCUACAAGACAGUUGCAUACUUGUCAGAUCACAAGCUCUCUAUUGCUCAUCUCUUUUGUUACUUUUAUACCAAGCUCAAGUCCAUACAGAGGGAA